GAAAUAAACAUUGACUGUGUGAAGCUACUGAGAGCUUGAGGAUGUUACAGCCAUCGGCCUACUCUAAUACAGGUUGGAACAGAGAAAGACCAGAAGGAGGAACAAGAAGCUGUUACAAUGAUUCAGCAUAUGAGGACUUAAUAACAGGAAGAAAUGAGGAGAAAAUGGCCUAAUCAUAUCAGAAAAAAAUGAAACUCAGGAGCAGCCCUAAAAGGCCAACUCUUCCAACCUUGACCUCCUAUGAAGAUGAAACAAUCCAAGAUUAAAUUGGAACUCUAUGACAUGCAGACAUUUGAUCCCCCAGUAUGUGAAUUAGGAAACUGAGGUUCCGAGAAGUCCAGCAACUUAACUGAGGUUAGCUGGGCAAGAAUGGAGUCCAUCAUAUGACAGCAAGUUUAUGAGAGGAUCACGUUGAGAAAACGUGCAAAUAGAGCGAGGCACAAGAGAAGAGACUCCACCACUGGAAAGAAAGUGAAUCUGA